AGCUUUGUGCAAUGGCAGUAUCAUAGCCAACGAGGUUUAUCCGAGGUGCGAUUAUUGCUAAUUAAAACACCGGAACCACCUUUCUCAACAUGAUUUUUUUUAAAAACUUCCUUUU
rnacentral:snRNA from 1 species